rnacentral:rRNA from 1 species
UUNAGUGUGUUGAUCCUGGCUCAGAUUGAACGCUGGCGGCAUGCCUUACACAUGCAAGUCGAACGGCAGCACGGGGGCAACCCUGGUGGCGAGUGGCGAACGGGUGAGUAAUACAUCGGAACGUGUCCUGUAGUGGGGGAUAGCCCGGCGAAAGCCGGAUUAAUACCGCAUACGCUCUACGGAGGAAAGGGGGGGAUCUUAGGACCUCCCGCUACAGGGGCGGCCGAUGGCAGAUUAGCUAGUUGGUGGGGUAAAGGCCUACCAAGGCGACGAUCUGUAGCUGGUCUGAGAGGACGACCAGCCACACUGGGACUGAGACACGGCCCAGACUCCUACGGGAGGCAGCAGUGGGGAAUUUUGGACAAUGGGGGAAACCCUGAUCCAGCAAUGCCGUCGUGUGUGAAGAAGGCCUUCGGGUUGUAAAGCACUUUUGUCCGGAAAGAAAACGUCUGGGUUAAUACCCCGGGGGGAUGACGGUACCGGAAGAAUAGCACCG